rnacentral:rRNA from 1 species
UCGGUAAAGAGCGGCGGACGGGUGAGUAACGCGUGGGUAACCUACCCUGUACACACGGAUAACAUACCGAAAGGUAUGCUAAUACGGGAUAAUAUAUUUGAGAGGCAUCUCUUGAAUAUCAAAGGUGAGCCAGUACAGGAUGGACCCGCGUCUGAUUAGCUAGUUGGUAAGGUAACGGCUUACCAAGGCGACGAUCAGUAGCCGACCUGAGAGGGUGAUCGGCCACAUUGGAACUGAGACA